UGUUUCGGCAAGGGGGUCAUCCCGACUUACCAACCCGAUGCAAACUGCGAAUACCGGAGAAUGUUAUCACGGGAGACACACGGCGGGUGCUAACGUCCGUCGUGAAGAGGGAAACAACCCAGACCGCCAGCUAAGGUCCCAAAGUCAUGGUUAAGUGGGAAACGAUGUGGGAAGGCCCAGACAGCCAGGAUGUUGGCUUAGAAGCAGCCAUCAUUUAAAGAAAGCGUAAUAGCUCACUGGUCGAGUCGGCCUGCGCGGAAGAUGUAACGGGGCUAAACCAUGCACCGAAGCUGCGGCAGCGACACUAUGUGUUGUUGGGUAGGGGAGCGUUCUGUAAGCCUGUGAAGGUGUGCUGUGAGGCAUGCUGGAGGUAUCAGAAGUGCGAAUGCUGACAUAAGUAACGAUAAAGCGGGUGAAAAGCCCGCUCGCCGGAAGACCAAGGGUUCCUGUCCAACGUUAAUCGGGGCAGGGUGAGUCGACCCCUAAGGCGAGGCCGAAAGGCGUAGUCGAUGGGAAACAGGUUAAUAUUCCUGUACUUGGUGUUACUGCGAAGGGGGGACGGAGAAGGCUAUGUUGGCCGGGCGACGGUUGUCCCGGUUUAAGCGUGUAGGCUGGUUUUCCAGGCAAAUCCGGAAAAUCAAGGCUGAGGCGUGAUGACGAGGCACUACGGUGCUGAAGCAACAAAUGCCCUGCUUCCAGGAAAAGCCUCUAAGCAUCAGGUAACAUCAAAUCGUACCCCAAACCGACACAGGUGGUCAGGUAGAGAAUACCAAGGCGCUUGAGAGAACUCGGGUGAAGGAACUAGGCAAAAUGGUGCCGUAACUUCGGGAGAAGGCACGCUGAUAUGUAGGUGAAGCGACUUGCUCGUGGAGCUGAAAUCAGUCGAAGAUACCAGCUGGCUGCAACUGUUUAUUAAAAACACAGCACUGUGCAAACACGAAAGUGGACGUAUACGGUGUGACGCCUGCCCGGUGCCGGAAGGUUAAUUGAUGGGGUUAGCGCAAGCGAAGCUCUUGAUCGAAGCCCCGGUAAACGGCGGCCGUAACUAUAACGGUCCUAAGGUAGCGAAAUUCCUUGUCGGGUAAGUUCCGACCUGCACGAAUGGCGUAAUGAUGGCCAGGCUGUCUCCACCCGAGACUCAGUGAAAUUGAACUCGCUGUGAAGAUGCAGUGUACCCGCGGCAAGACGGAAAGACCCCGUGAACCUUUACUAUAGCUUGACACUGAACAUUGAGCCUUGAUGUGUAGGAUAGGUGGGAGGCUUUGAAGUGUGGACGCCAGUCUGCAUGGAGCCGACCUUGAAAUACCACCCUUUAAUGUUUGAUGUUCUAACGUUGACCCGUAAUCCGGGUUGCGGACAGUGUCUGGUGGGUAGUUUGACUGGGGCGGUCUCCUCCUAAAGAGUAACGGAGGAGCACGAAGGUUGGCUAAUCCUGGUCGGACAUCAGGAGGUUAGUGCAAUGGCAUAAGCCAGCUUGACUGCGAGCGUGACGGCGCGAGCAGGUGCGAAAGCAGGUCAUAGUGAUCCGGUGGUUCUGAAUGGAAGGGCCAUCGCUCAACGGAUAAAAGGUACUCCGGGGAUAACAGGCUGAUACCGCCCAAGAGUUCAUAUCGACGGCGGUGUUUGGCACCUCGAUGUCGGCUCAUCACAUCCUGGGGCUGAAGUAGGUCCCAAGGGUAUGGCUGUUCGCCAUUUAAAGUGGUACGCGAGCUGGGUUUAGAACGUCGUGAGACAGUUCGGUCCCUAUCUGCCGUGGGCGCUGGAGAACUGAGGGGGGCUGCUCCUAGUACGAGAGGACCGGAGUGGACGCAUCACUGGUGUUCGGGUUGUCAUGCCAAUGGCACUGCCCGGUAGCUAAAUGCGGAAGAGAUAAGUGCUGAAAGCAUCUAAGCACGAAACUUGCCCCGAGAUGAGUUCUCCCUGACUCCUUGAGAGUCCUGAAGGAACGUUGAAGACGACGACGUUGAUAGGCCGGGUGUGUAAGCGCAGCGAUGCGUUGAGCUAACCGGUACUAAUGAACCGUGAGGCUUAACCUUACAAC
rnacentral:rRNA from 1 species